rnacentral:rRNA from 1 species
UACGUAGGUGGCAAGCGUUGUCCGGAUUUAUUGGGCGUAAAGCGAGCGCAGGCGGUUUCUUAAGUCUGAUGUGAAAGCCUUCGGCUUAACCGAAGAAGUGCAUCAGAUACUGGGAAACUUGAGUGCAGAAGAGGAAAGUGGAACUCCAUGUGUAGCGGUGAAAUGCGUAGAUAUAUGGAAGAACACCAGUGGCGAAGGCGGCUUUCUGGUCUGUAACUGACGCUGAGGCUCGAAAGUAUGGGGAGCGAAC